rnacentral:rRNA from 1 species
CGCCUUGCCAGCCCGCUCAGAAACUCAAAGGAAUUGACGGGGGCCCGCACAAGCGGUGGAGCAUGUGGUUUAAUUCGAUGGUACGCGAGAAACCUUACCAGGGCUUGACAUACACCGGAAGCGCCGUGAAAGCGGCGUGCCGCUUGCGGCCGGUGAACAGGUGCUGCAUGGCUGUCGUCAGCUCGUGCUGUGAAGUGUUGGGUUAAGUCCCGCAACGAGCGCAACCCUUGUCCUUAGUUACCAGCACGUUAUGGUGGGCACUCUAAGGAGACUGCCGGUGACAAACCGGAGGAAGGUGGGGAUGACGUCAAGUCAUCAUGGCCCUUACGGCCUGGGCUACACACGUGCUACAAUGGUCGGUACAAAGGGUUGCCAAGCCGCGAGGUGGAGCUAAUCCCAUAAAACCGAUCGUAGUCCGGAUCGCAGUCUGCAACUCGACUGCGUGAAGUCGGAAUCGCUAGUAAUCGUGAAUCAGAAUGUCACGGUGAAUACGUUCCCGGGCCUU